UUUUCUUUUCAUUUUUUUUUUCACACAAUACAAACACUUCUCUCUCUCACUCCCUCACUUUCCCACCGGCACCUUCACUUCUCAUGACCUCCACCACCUUUUUCUGGCAAGAUCACUGGAAAACUCUGUAGGAAAACAUUAAGGCUCACUCACCUCUACUAUUUGAAGUUCUAGCUAAUUUCUUUUGGGACUUGGAAAAUUAGGCUUUUGCGGGUUGCAAGAGUAGGCAACUAUCUUUUUGAGACAGCUUUUUGGUGGCUAGCAGUAGUUAGACUAACUGUUGAUGGAGGUUGACUUUUGUGAUGGAGAUAAUUGAUGAUGUAUAACUUAGAGUAUGCUGGACCCAAUUCUUUUGUAUCUAAUAGUGGUUAUGCCUUUAUUUCCACUAAUAGGACAAGUUGAUGUUAUGUAAUUAUUUAUUCGGACCUCCAUUCUUUUGUGACCAAUAGUUAUUGUAUUUAUUGCAUAGAGUUCUGACUUA